AGUGAACGCUGGCGGUAGGCCUAACACAUGCAAGUCGAACGGCAGCACAGUAAGAGCUUGCCCUUACGGGUGGCGAGUGGCGGACGGGUGAGGAAUACAUCGGAAUCUACUUUUUCGUGGGGGAUAACGUAGGGAAACUUACGCUAAUACCGCAUACGACCUACGGGUGAAAGCAGGGGAUAUUCGCACCUUGCGCGAUUGAAUGAGCCGAUGUCGGAUUAGCUAGUUGGCGGGGUAAAGGCCCACCAAGGCGACGAUCCGUAGCUGGUCUGAGAGGAUGAUCAGCCACACUGGAACUGAGACACGGUCCAGACUCCUACGGGAGGCAGCAGUGGGGAAUAUUGGGCAAUGGGCGCAAGCCUGAUCCAGCCAUACCGCGUGGGUGAAGAAGGCCUUCGGGUUGUAAAGCCCUUUUGUUGGGAAAGAAAAGCAGCAGGUUAAUACCCCGCUGUUCUGACGGUACCCAAAGAAUAAGCACCGGCUAACUUCGUG
rnacentral:rRNA from 1 species